UUUUUAAUUAUCAAAACAAACAUUAAAAUCCAGUGGCAGCUAUUGUAAAUAAAUCUCAACUACAAAAUUUAUUUCACAAAAUGGCUGCAAAAAUGUAUAUGUAGAUUUAAAGCUUUCUUGUUCUCAUGGUUGACAAUUCUUGAAUAAACCAUUUCUGAGACCAUAAGCUAAUU
rnacentral:sRNA from 1 species